rnacentral:rRNA from 1 species
AUUGAACGCUGGCGGCAUGCUUUACACAUGCAAGUCGAACGGUAGGGUAGCAAUACCUGAGAGUGGCGAACGGGUGAGUAAUGCAUCGGAACAUGCCUAUUUGUGGGGGAUAGCCCGGCGAAAGCCGGAUUAAUACCGCAUACGAUCUACGGAUGAAAGCUGGGGAUCGCAAGGCCUAGCGCAAAUAGAGUGGCCGAUGUAAGAUUAGCUAGUUGGUGGGGUAAAGGCUCACCAAGGCAACGAUCUGUAGCUGGUUUGAGAGAACGACCAGCCACACUGGGACUGAGACACGGCCCAGACUCCUACGGGAGGCAGCAGUGGGGAAUUUUGGACAAUGGGCGCAAGCCUGAUCCAGCAAUGCCGCGUGCAGGAUGAAGGCCUUCGGGUUGUAAACUGCUUUUGUACGGAGCGAAAAGGCUUCUUCUAAUACAGGAGGCUCAUGACGGUACCGUAAGAAUAAGCACCGGCUAACUACGUGCCAGCAGCCGCCGUAACAC